rnacentral:rRNA from 1 species
ACGUAGGUGGCAAGCGUUGUCCGGAUUUACUGGGCGUAAAGGGAGCGUAGGCGGAUUUUUAAGUGGGAUGUGAAAUACUCGGGCUUAACCUGAGUGCUGCAUUCCAAACUGGAAGUCUAGAGUACAGGAGGGGAAAGCGGAAUUCCUAGUGUAGCGGUGUAAUGCGUAGAGAUUAGGAAGAACACCAGUGGCGAAGGCGACUUUCUGGACUGUAACUGACGCUGAGGCUCGAAAGCGUGGGGUGCAAACAG